rnacentral:rRNA from 1 species
AUGGCGACAUCCAAGAAGGGGCCUCUCUAUCCCAGCAGGGACAGGGCCACCAGGAUGGCCCCCAACCUCAAGCCCUCCAGCAGCGAGACCUCCUCCUCCGGCUACGGCGCGCGCCGGGCGAGGUCAGUGCCGAGUUCCCCAGAUCGCAAGCUCGGUCCUUCGGCUGCCGCUGCGGCUCCUUCCGCCUCCCCGGACAUGUGCCGUCCCUCAUUAUCACACGCUGGCCGGUCCAUCUCUUCACGGACAAUGUCCGGCUCAGGCCCAUCCAUUCAUGGCAGCAAGCCAGCCUCAAAGCCGGCUCUGGCUAGAGCGAAAUCCGACAAAGUCACCGCCAACUCACAGCGGCCUCAUGCGCUCGCUGGGCCGCUCAGCAGUUCGUUCAAGGACACCGCCAACUCGUCUUCUACCUUGCUGAAGAAUAAGCUUUCGCCAAGGCCCACCCCUAGCAAAGGGGUGGCGUCCCCAAAGCCGAGCAUCCAGAGGGCGUCAUCGCCAUCGCCAUCGCCGGGGGCUUUGAGAGGUGGGAAGCCUCUGCCCGCGUCCUCGGCACGCGCGCCAGGCACAGCGGCCAAGAAAAGAGAAGCAGCAGCAAAUGGUGGUGCCAACGCAAUCUCAAGGCCAAGGGGUGCUCCUCAAAAGGCAGUGGAGCCAUCUACUACAAGCAGGAAGGAGAAAGAUGACGAGCCGUCGAUGCAGUUUGAGGAAUCCGAGAGCCUGACCACUCCGUCCAUCGAAGAUCAGUUGCAGGAGCAGCUUCCUGACCCUGUGGACCUGAAACCCAUCGACAUGGCUGCUUCCGCUUCCGCUUCUGCUUCACCUCGACGCGAUCAGCAGGGGCCGCACACUCAGCAACAAGGCAAGAAUGAGCAGCCAGAGAAAGAGGGUGCUGAUGCCGGCGGAAAGAACAACAAACCUGACAUUGCAAAGGUUGCCGAUGAAUUGGAUCGAGAGGCAGAGACAGAAGAGGCUAUAACGAAGGCAAGCAGCAGGGCUGAAGCUGCUCAGUCAUGGAGGAAGGAUGAUCCCAAGAGCAACGACGUGAUCGAGGAGGCGAAAAGCAAGCUCCUGGAGGAGAGGCAGAGCAGGGUGAAGGCCUUGGUAGGGGCCUUCGAGACGGUCAUGUCCUUCAAGGAGUGA